UGCUGCUUUGCUGACGAGUGGCGGACGGGUGAGUAAUGUCUGGGAAACUGCCUGAUGGAGGGGGAUAACUACUGGAAACGGUGGCUAAUACCGCAUAACGUCGCAAGACCAAAGAGGGGGACCUUCGGGCCUCUUGCCAUCAGAUGUGCCCAGAUGGGAUUAGCUUGUUGGUGAGGUAACGGCUCACCAAGGCGACGAUCCCUAGCUGGUCUGAGAGGAUGACCAGCCACACUGGAACUGAGACACGGUCCAGACUCCUACGGGAGGCAGCAGUGGGGAAUAUUGCACAAUGGGCGCAAGCCUGAUGCAGCCAUGCCGCGUGUAUGAAGAAGGCCUUCGGGUUGUAAAGUACUUUCAGCGGGGAGGAAGGUGUUGCGGUUAAUAACCGCAGCAAUUGACGUUACCCGCAGAAGAAGCACCGGCUAACUCCGUGCCAGCAGCCGCGGUAAUACGGAGGGUGCAAGCGUUAAUCGGAAUUACUGGGCGUAAAGCGCACGCAGGCGGUCUGUCAAGUCGGAUGUGAAAUCCCCGGGCUCAACCUGGGAACUGCAUUCGAAACUGGCAGGCUUGAGUCUUGUAGAGGGGGGUAGAAUUCCAGGUGUAGCGGUGAAAUGCGUAGAGAUCUGGAGGAAUACCGGUGGCGAAGGCGGCCCCCUGGACAAAGACUGACGCUCAGGUGCGAAAGCGUGGGGAGCAAACAGAAUUAGAUACCCUGGUAGUCCACGCCGUAAACGAUGUCUACUU
rnacentral:rRNA from 1 species